rnacentral:rRNA from 1 species
GGUUAAGUCCGCAACGAGCGCAACCCCUACGUUAGUUGCUAACGCGCGAAGGCGAGCACUCUAGACGAACUGCCGUUGACAAAACGGAGGAAAGGUGGGGAUGACGUCAAAUCAUCAUGCCCCUUAUGUUCUGGGCUACACACGUGCUACAAUGGCCGGUACAGACGGACGCAAAGCCGCGAGGUGGAGCAAAUCCUAAAAAGCCGGUCUCAGUUCGGAUUGCAGGCUGCAAUUCGCCUGCAUGAAGUCGGAAUCGCUAGUAAUCGCAGGUCAGCAUACUGCGGUGAAUACGUUCCCGGGCCUU